UACGGAGGGUGCAAGCGUUAAUCGGAAUUACUGGGCGUAAAGCGCACGCAGGUGGCUGAGAAAGUCGAUUGUGAAAGCCCUGGGCUUAACCUGGGAAUUGCAGUCGAAACUACUCGGCUAGAGUAUGGGAGAGGGUAGUGGAAUUCCCGGUGUAGAGGUGAAAUUCGUAGAUAUCGGGAGGAACACCAGUGGCGAAGGCGGCGAUCUGGGAAGAUACUGACGCUGAGGUGCGAAAGCGUGGGGAGCAAACAGG
rnacentral:rRNA from 1 species